UGAAAUUCUGAUCCUUUUUUUGGCCAAUUUGGAUCAUGUGCCCCUCACAUGCCUUUUUGAAAGGGCAAAAUGGUCGUCCAAUCUCAUCUUCCUCCUUUCACAGAAAAAAAAGAAAAAAGAAAAAGGAAAAUUAAAAUAGGGCAAAUUUGGCCCCAAAUUGAGAUCACGACUAAACUAGUGCCCCCCAUCUCUCUUGACAGCGACAGCAAGGCACAAUCUCAACAUUCCAAAUUGAGCUCACGACUAAAUCCUUGCGGGGCUUGAGAGUCCACGACUGUGCGUUCUGAGAACAUCUAGUGCAAGGCUGCCCUCGUUGGCACCGGCGACACCGUCCACACCCUCCUCCUCAAUAAACCGCGGACCCCUCCCUCCUCCUCUCGGCCUCCACCGACUGUAGACCCCCCACCCCAUCCUAUGUUCCAAGCUCCACUUCGACGCCGCCACCAACUCUUUCUUCUUCGGGAUGAGUUGGAAGUUGAGAACACAAAACCAUGAAGUGCUUAUGGGACGAAAUGCUCCAGAUUAUGGGAACAAAAGAAUCAGUAGCCAACCGUGGAAAUAAGAGAAAAAUGGAGGGAGCACACCAUGAAGUUGAGACUCUGGCACAUGUAAGGAAGAAAUUGGAAGUACGAAGAAAAGAGGGGAUGACUUCACAGUCUUCAGUGGCAUGUUAGAUGAAUGGGGCACUUUUGCUGCAUGGAUGGCACAUUUGUUGUUGGACUAUAUUACUUGACGCGGUGAAGCUUUUGUUGUUGAAAACAGUCAAAUGAUGUAAAUGUGGCUCGGAAAUAUAUCCGUAAGUUCAGGGUC